CAAAAACUGUUUUCCAGAACAGUUUUCAAAAACAGCAACCAAACAGGCCCUAAUUUCGCUAUUAAAAUUAAGCAAUGGGCUUGUUUUCCCUAAAUUACGCGACGGGCUUGUUCCUGGGCCAAGCAACCCAACAACUUGUUAGUUUUCGUCAACAUGUGCGCGCGUUAGGAGUUAGGACCAGCAUCCUCUCUCUGAAUUGUCAGAAAUACCAGAUCACAGCUCUAGGGUUUUAAGUAGGGUUUUGAACUCAAAGACCACAAUUUCAGGCACAGAAAAAUGGCUGGAUUCAGUGGUCUCCCAACUAAGGGCAAGAACGGCAUUGUUGCUGGUGGCUUGACAGCGUUUGUGGUUGGGGUGUAUAUCUACACCAUGAGAGCUGUUGGAGGCACAGAUGAAAUCCAGGUAGCUAUCAACAAGUUUGAGGAGGAGAAAGCCAUGAAAGAGGAUGCACCCAAGACCUGAUCUUAUUCAUACAUACUCCCUUUCAUUCUUGUAAUAAUGCACACAAUGGCAAGCUGUUUUGUUCUAUGAGAAACACAACCUCUUUUGUAUUUGAAUACCUAGGAAGUAAGAACAACUGAAACUUUUAAUAAAUCUUGUUAUUAGCUUUGGUUUA